ACAACCGGCAGAUAGAAGGAAAAAUAAAAAAGGAAAAAAGAAGCUGGUUGAAUAAUUAUGAGGAUAGAAACGAGCAAGAUCCUCUUGAGAAACGACAAAUAAAAAAUCUCGAUUUAGAAAACAUCCGGCAACGAGAGCGAAUUAAGAACGAAUCGCGCAACGAAACACGAUCGCGAUUUCGUGGAAGAACGGUACUUUUCAGCUUGAACGUGGCCGGUCCUUAAAAGAAAACGUGCCAAGGACAGCAGCGAUCAACGACGAUUCUCUCUCUCUCUCUUUCUCUCUCUCUCUCUCUCCUUCUCUUCUCGUCUCUCGGUGGUCGAGAUCGGUCGUUUAUUAAUUUACAUGCGGACUCGGCCGAAGGCGCCAGCCGGAUGGAGAACCGGAGGAGGAUCGACGACGAUGACGCGUUUACUCGUUGCACUACCAAGCUUCUGCUCUUCCGAGUUGCUCGCCUAUAAACAAACAUCUUUGGAAGAAACAUCUUUGGAAGAAAUUAUCGAACGAACGUAAAAGUCGUAGGUCCCCUUUUACAAUUUUCUUCUAUUCAUACGUAAUAUAUGCAUCGCGAAUUAACAAAUUAAUUAAUUCAAAAUAUUUCCCCCCUUUCGUAUUCGAAUUUCUGUCAAGUUUCGCGCCGCGAAAGAAUCACAUUUUCGUAUCUCAGCGACAUUGCGAAACUGCUGUCCGACUAAAACGCGCUGCAUCGACCUGAAUGAGCGAUGAUCUGUCGGUGUGAGAUCUGGAGAGUGCGCCGCGUGCGCACGAACUUCCCGCUUCAAGUUAACGUUAAUAAUUCGUGCUCGCUAUUAUUUCGUGAGAUCUGGCUAUGAUCUAUCGUCACCGAUGCAUCAUAAAGUUGACGUUUCAAAUAGAACAGUAUGAACCAAGUGGUUGGAGGAAAACCUGGAAAAUUAUGUCGACCGAAAGUAAUUAUAUAUAUGAACGCUUGAGAAAAAGACUAAAACUAUCGCACGCAUCUUUGGGACCAAUAAUUGAUAGAAACAAGAUUCGCUUCUGAGAAGCUCAACGAUCGACAAAGGACGUUUGUCGAACAGAAGGGACCAAUUGUUUAAGAAAAAAAGAAACUGUUUCCUUCGACAAUGGAAAUAUACAGAAGCAAGUUGACGACUUAUGCGGUAGACGAUAGAAAAGAGAGGAAUUUUUGCUUCGCAGGAAUCGAGCUGAAAUACCCAAAUUCAAUAAUAAAUAUAACACAAGAAUUAAUAAAAGCCAUAAAUUACCCAAUUACUUGACACGACGAAUCAGAUCCGCAGGCUAAAAAGACAUUAGACUCUAGAUUUAAACAUUAGAUUCAGCUAGAAUUCACGUUAUUCACGUUAUAGUAACAAUCUACUUAUAAUUCUCAAUGAGAAUUGAUUGUAAACUACUUCCAAAUAAAAAAAAAAGGAACCGAGCAGUUCCCCUUGACCGGCUAAAGCAGGCGAACGGUAGUUUACGAAAAGUGCACGUGAGGAUGGCGAAGGAAACGAAACGGAGUCACGAACACGUGCGGCGGUGUUAAUUUUCUCCUGGUGGUGACCGUGACACCAGGCCGCGAUUUUGCCUCGAAUCUCCUCGACUCUGCAUAUUUCUGCCCAUCCGCAGCUUGCCACUGACUCACUUCCUCCAUUCUGCAUAGACAUUUCGCGUGUUUUGUCAUCGAUCAAAGUGCGAACUCGCCGUUAACGUUCAUUUAUUCGAAGCAAACGAUAACGAAGAGUAGAAGCAAAGGAAGAACGGAAGUAAUCGCUAUCGAUGAUGACACGAUAAUUAUUUUGCCUUCGAGUUCUACCGUACGAUUCGUUGAUACGCGAUCGAGAAAUUGUUUUAUCGUCUGAGAUAGUACCCUUAGACAAACUUCGAUGUUCGUUGAGAGGAAUAAGGAAAUUUAUACGAUUCAGUGAUGGUUCAACUUUCGUUAUUAGAAUAUUGGAACAUUUCGACCUUGUUGUUACGUGUCUUUCUACAGAGAAAUUAUUUCCACGCUGCGAGCUUUUUGGAAAUCUCAGCGCCUCUCAGACAGAUCUUAAUCCCCUUUGACGUUCUCGAAAUAUUUAUAAAAACGACUAUAUUAAUUUCCAAUAGAAUUCUCCGCGAUUUUAAGAAUAAAAUCAGUUACAAAUUGCGAGUAAAACUAGUUUCCGAAAGCAUCGUUGCGGUCGUUCGUUCGUAAAAGGCAGGAAUAACGAGGGCCACGAGGAGAGAAGGUUACUGCACGCACCCACCGCAAACCCAGGUGUUCAAGAUUAAUAGAAACAGUUCGAUCAGCUGCUGCCGACCGAUGAUAUCGUCGAACAAUAAAAUCAAAAUCGAACAAGGAUUAUUUCGUCCUUUUGUCCACUACACGUGCGCUCUGCGUCGAUAUAAGACAGCGAACCUCAAAACGAACCAACUUCCUCUCAGCCAACUGCGAUAUAAUUUCGGUCGUGGAAAAUAGCCAGCCAUUGGAAAACUGUUUUUUAAAAGCAUUGUUUAUCCGACGACACGGCGAGUUCGUGGAAUCGAGCGUUUUCUAUGGAAAGUCUCAACUCGCGGUGUCUCCAGCGCAACACAUGCUCCGGUCGUUUAUUUCCUGGCAGCUUCUGAAAUUUAUUCAUUCACCUAACGAACGUCUUGGUACGAGCUAUGAAUAGGUAAGGGCCGGUGCUUAAGAGGCCAGAAACAAAUCGUCCCUCCCACCUCUUGCCGCCUCUUCGCCCUCUCGAGUCCUUCCACGGAAGAUGGAGAGAAAAAAAAAAGGAAGCCGAAGAAGAAAAGAGAGAAACAAAAGAUAGAAGUGGCCACGAUUCAUAUUGUAAUUUCGAAAGCAGGAUCCAUUUAUCUUGCAGGGGCGAGGGAAUUUUUACAGGAGAUUCGUUAUCCUCCGCCGUCCGGGAAUAGCAGCGGCGCGGAGGAAGAGACAGGAGAGAAGACAUAAAAUGGAAAAAAGAAGAGAAGAGAGAACGAGGAGACGAGGAGGGAGGAGAUCGGCGAUGAAGAAAGAAAGAAACGGCGGUGCUGCUCAUCGACUCGUGACCACAAUGAACCGUUUCCGUGAUAAUAAAACUAAACGUUGUUUAAUUUGUAUGGAGAGGCCUUCCAGCUCUUUUGUCCCGGCUGUUCCGUGGCUUUUGUGAAACGCUCGAAUACCUCGCGCUACGUUACGGUAUAAAAAUAGUGGAUAAAUCAAAAGGACAGACAGAAAUAGAUACGAGAUUGUUAAAGCCAUGUACAAAAUCUAUAAAACAUAAAUUGUACAAU